GCUGGGCAUGGUGACGCAUGCCUGUAGUCCCAGCUACUCGGGAGGCUAAGGCAGGAGAAUUGCUUGAACCCAGGAGUCAGAGGUUGUGGUGAGCUGAAAUUGCGCCACUGCACUCCUGCCUGGGCAACAGAGCGAGACUCUGUCUCAA
ensembl:misc_RNA Metazoa_SRP Metazoan signal recognition particle RNA